rnacentral:rRNA from 1 species
AGAGUUUGAUCCUGGCUCAGGACGAACGCUGGCGGCGUGCCUAAUACAUGCAAGUCGAGCGGACAGAUGGGAGCUUGCUCCCUGAUGUUAGCGGCGGACGGGUGAGUAACACGUGGGUAACCUGCCUGUAAGACUGGGAUAACUCCGGGAAACCGGGGCUAAUACCGGAUGGUUGUUUGAACCGCAUGGUUCAAACAUAAAAGGUGGCUUCGGCUACCACUUACAGAUGGACCCGCGGCGCAUUAGCUAGUUGGUGAGGUAACGGCUCACCAAGGCAACGAUGCGUAGCCGACCUGAGAGGGUGAUCGGCCACACUGGGACUGAGACACGGCCCAGACUCCUACGGGAGGCAGCAGUAGGGAAUCUUCCGCAAUGGACGAAAGUCUGACGGAGCAACGCCGCGUGAGUGAUGAAGGUUUUCGGAUCGUAAAGCUCUGUUGUAAGGGAAGAACAAGUACCGUUCGAAUAGGGCGGUACCAUGUCGGUACCUAACCAGAAAGACACGGCUAACUACGUGCCAGCAGCCGCGGUAAUACGUAGGUGGCAAAGCGUUGUCCGGAAUUAUUGGGCGUAAAGGGCUCGCAGGCGGUUUUCUUAAGUCUGAUGUGAAAGCCCCCGGCUCAACCGGGGAGGGUCAUUGGAAACUGGGGAACUUGAGUGCAGAAGAGGAGAGUGGAAUUCCACGUGUAGCGGUGAAAUGCGUAGAGAUGUGGAGGAACACCAGUGGCGAAGGCGACUCUCUGGUCUGUAACUGACGCUGAGGAGCGAAAGCGUGGGGAGCGAACAGGAUUAGAUACCCUGGUAGUCCACGCCGUAAACGAUGAGUGCUAAGUGUUAGGGGGUUUCCGCCCCUUAGUGCUGCAGCUAACGCAUUAAGCACUCCGCCUGGGGAGUACGGUCGCAAGACUGAAACUCAAAGGAAUUGACGGGGGCCCGCACAAGCGGUGGAGCAUGUGGUUUAAUUCGAAGCAACGCGAAGAACCUUACCAGGUCUUGACAUCCUCUGACAAUCCUAGAGAUAGGACGUCCCCUUCGGGGGCAGAGUGACAGGUGGUGCAUGGUUGUCGUCAGCUCGUGUCGUGAGAUGUUGGGUUAAGUCCCGCAACGAGCGCAACCCUUGAUCUUAGUUGCCAGCAUUCAGUUGGGCACUCUAAGGUGACUGCCGGUGACAAACCGGAGGAAGGUGGGGAUGACGUCAAAUCAUCAUGCCCCUUAUGACCUGGCUACACACGUGCUACAAUGGACAGAACAAAGGGCAGCUGCCGCGAGGUUAAGCCAAUCCCACAAAUCUGUUCUCAG